rnacentral:lncRNA from 1 species
AUAACAGGGAAAUUCCAGGGUAACAUGAAAUCGAUCUGACACUUCCUGCCUUUCUCUCCAAGAAAUGAGAACUUAAAUUCUGUCAGUUUAGUUGGAUGGAUGACAUUGCUUCAACCCCUUUUCCCCCAUGGUGACUGCAGAAGAUAUAAAUUCGGAACGACACCCCAGUAGGGUCGUAUUGAGUUAUACCCUAGUCUCAUGGAAAUAAGUCUUUCAGUGAAACUUCAAAUCUGCCCUAACCAAGGCUCCCUAUCAUCAGGACCAGGACUAUCUGCAAC